rnacentral:ncRNA from 2 species
ACACGCCAACCGGGAGAGUCUGGUUUGGUCUGGCGCCGAAGGAGCAACCGCCCCGGUCACUCUCAGGCAAAAGGACCGGUUGGGGUGC